ensembl:lncRNA
CUACAGUCCAUGGCAUCACAAAGACGGACACGACUGAGUGUCACUAACACUUUCACUUUUUUACUUCCAGCUGGGUGGUAGUAGGGGGUCAAGAGAGCAGUGUAGAUAGAGGGCUGCCGCAGCUGCUCACUUUCAAACUAGGGAGUGAACUUCUACACUUUUCCAGCCUGGAGUUCCUUCCAGGCAGAGACGCCAGGGAGGAACAUCCAGUGAGACCAUUUGGAUGAGCACACGCACAAUCGACUAAUCUCACAGACUUUGGUCAAACUCUGUGGCAGAAGCAACAGGUUGAAUUGUCUUCCCCAAGAUUCAGAUGUUGAAGUCCCAACUCAGAAUGGAUAUUUGAAGACAGGGUCUUCAAAGAGGUGAUUAAGUUAAUAUGAGGUCACGCAGGUGAGCCCUACGCCCUGUAAUUGUUCUGAUGAGAAGAAGUGAUCAGGACACAGACACAUACAGAGGGAAGAGCUUGUGAAGACACAGGGAGAAGGUUCCCAUCUAUAAGCCAAACAGAGCAGCUUCAGAAGGAAGUAACCCUACCAACAGCUUGAUCUUGGACUUCCAGCCUCUGCAAUUUGAUGGAGGAGCCUGGCAUGCUACAGUCCAUGGAGAGUCGGGCACGACUUAGAGCCUGAAGAGCAACAGAUGAAUCUCAGUCUCGCACACACUGGAGGAUGCACUGCUUUAGCCCAGUGGGUCUCAACCCUUGCUGCUUCAUAGAGCCACCUGGGAGCUUUCCAAGGCCUGGGGCAGGGCCUCUUAUCCAUUCUUCUUAAGAGCACUCAGGAUAAUGCUGUGUGCAGCUUGCAACACCUUCGUGUGGCAUGUGGGAUCCCCAACCAGUGAUUGAACCCGUGCCCUGCACAGUGGGAAUGUGGAGUCUUAACCACUGGACCACCAGGGGAGUCCCUAAAAAUUAAUUUUUUAUUUUUUAUCAAGGUAACAUGAGUACAUGGUUAAAAAAUAAAAAUUGGAAAGUAUCACACCCAGUGCCAGAAUCCAACUCUCUAGAGUCAAACAUCGUAAACUCUAAGUCUUCCUUUGGGCAUUUUCUACUGUAUUUAAAAAAAAUCUGUUUAUAAUGCUGUUUCUCUCCCCCCCACCCCAGUUUUAUUGUGAUCUAAUUGACAUACAUCACAGUAUAACUUUCAAAUGUACACCAUGAUGGUUUGACUUACAUGUAUUAUGAAAUAUAUUCUCAAUGAAAAAUUUUCUUCUACAUUAUCUACUGACUUCCUACUUAAAUAGAUUUUGCUCUCCUUUUCCAACCUGGCAACUCCCUCUACAACCACUGCUCUCUUCACGCUCUUAAUUCAGUUAUAUUGUGAAUAUCUGGGGUUUGCCUUACUGUGACUAUGUACAUACUUUCCAUGGUUGAGUUACAUGAGGUGCAAUUAUUACAUCUUAUUUCUUAUAUGAAUAGUAGAAACAAUGUUAUGUGUUCAUCCCCUGUUUCCUUUUCCCGGGAAAGCAGGAG